rnacentral:pre_miRNA from 1 species
AGAAACUUGGAAACUGUCUUUGGAUUGAAAAAUGGACGUUCGAGAUUUAUCCACGUCACCAUGAGUAAAAAAAUUACUUUUUACUCAUAAGCAAAUCUGCGAGUAAUUUUUUUACUCAUGGUGAUGUGGAUGAAUCUCGGAUGUCUAUUUUUGAUCCAACAGUAGUUUUCAGGUUUUC